rnacentral:rRNA from 1 species
GUGGGUGUCGUGGGAUAGGUGUGGGGGAAUUCCACGUUUUCCGCGCCGUAGCUAACGCAUUAAGUGCCCCGCCUGGGGAGUACGGCCGCAAGGCUAAAACUCAAAGGAAUUGACGGGGGCCCGCACAAGCGGCGGAGCAUGCGGAUUAAUUCGAUGCAACGCGAAGAACCUUACCAAGGCUUGACAUACACCGGAUCGGCUCAGAGAUGAGUUUUCCUCCUUGUGGGGCUGGUGUACAGGUGGUGCAUGGUUGUCGUCAGCUCGUGUCGUGAGAUGUUGGGUUAAGUCCCGCAACGAGCGCAACCCUCGUUCUAUGUUGCCAGCACGUGAUGGUGGGGACUCAUAGGAGACUGCCGGGGUCAACUCGGAGGAAGGUGGGGAUGACGUCAAAUCAUCAUGCCCCUUAUGUCUUGGGCUUCACGCAUGCUACAAUGGCCAGUACAAUGGGUUGCGAUACCGUGAGGUGGAGCUAAUCCCAAAAAGCUGGUCUCAGUUCGGAUCGUGGUCUGCAACUCGACCACGUGAAGUCGGAGUCGCUAGUAAUCGCAGAUCAGCAACGCUGCGGUGAAUACGUUCCCGGGCCUUGUACACACCGCCCGUCAAGUCACGAAAGUUGGUAACACCCGAAGCCGGUGGCCUAACCCUUGUGGGGGGAGCCGUCGAAGGUGGGACUGGCGAUUGGGACUAAGUCGUAACAAGUUAAACCGUAAAA